UACGUAGGGGGCAAGCGUUGUCCGGAAUCAUUGGGCGUAAAGCGUCCGCAGGUGGCACUUCAAGUCUGCUGUCAAAGACCGGGGCUUAACCCUGGAAAGGCGGUGGAAACUGAAGUGCUAGAGUGUGGCAGGGGUAGAGGGAAUUCCCGGUGUAGCGGUGAAAUGCGUAGAGAUCGGGAAGAACAUCGGUGGCGAAAGCGCUCUACUGGGCCAUAACUGACACUCAGGGACGAAAGCUAGGGGAGCGAAUGGG
rnacentral:rRNA from 1 species